UACGUAGGGCGCAAGCGUUGUCCGGAAUUAUUGGGCGUAAAGAGCUCGUAGGCGGCCUGUCGCGUCUGCUGUGAAAUCCCGGGGCUUAACCCCGGGCGUGCAGUGGAUACGGGCUGGCUGGAGGCAGGCAGGGGAGAACGGAAUUCCCGGUGUAGCGGUGAAAUGCGCAGAUAUCGGGAGGAACACCGGUGGCGAAGGCGGUUCUCUGGGCCUGUUCUGGACGCUGAGGAGCGAAAGCGUGGG
rnacentral:rRNA from 1 species